rfam:Schistosoma haematobium scaffold1121_48, whole genome shotgun sequence.
AGCCUUCUGAAUCCGUACCGAGAUUUCGUCAGACACCAGAUCAUCCGUACCGAUGGGACUCCCAAGAUAAGUGAAGCA